CGCCCCGCAAGGGGAGCGGCAGACGGGUGAGUAACGCGUGGGAAUCUACCGAGCCCUAAGGAAUAGCUCCGGGAAACUGGAAUUAAUACCUUAUACGCCCUUCGGGGGAAAGAUUUAUCGGGGUUUGAUGAGCCCGCGUUGGAUUAGCUAGUUGGUGGGGUAAAGGCCUACCAAGGCGACGAUCCAUAGCUGGUCUGAGAGGAUGAUCAGCCACAUUGGGACUGAGACACGGCCCAAACUCCUACGGGAGGCAGCAGUGGGGAAUAUUGGACAAUGGGCGCAAGCCUGAUCCAGCCAUGCCGCGUGAGUGAUGAAGGCCCUAGGGUUGUAAAGCUCUUUCACCGGUGAAGAUAAUGACGGUAACCGGAGAAGAAGCCCCGGCUAACUUCGUGCCAGCAGCCGCGGUAAUACGAAGGGGGCUAGCGUUGUUCGGAAUUACUGGGCGUAAAGCGCACGUAGGCGGAUAUUUAAGUCAGGGGUGAAAUCCCAGAGCUCAACUCUGGAACUGCCUUUGAUACUGGGUAUCUCGAGUAUGGAAGAGGUAAGUGGAAUUCCGAGUGUAGAGGUGAAAUUCGUAGAUAUUCGGAGGAACACCAGUGGCGAAGGCGGCUUACUGGUCCAUUACUGACGCUGA
rnacentral:rRNA from 1 species